UAGCGGCGGACGGGUGAGUAACACGUGAGCAACCUGCCCUGGAGUGGGGGAAUAACAUCGGGAAACCGGUGCUAAUACCGCAUGAUGUUACGAGAAGGCAUCUUCUUGUAACCAAAGAUUUAUCGCUCUGGGAUGGGCUCGCGCCUGAUUAGAUAGUUGGUGGGGUAAAGGCCUACCAAGUCGACGAUCAGUAGCUGGACUGAGAGGUUGAACGGCCACAUUGGGACUGAGACACGGCCCAG
rnacentral:rRNA from 1 species